rnacentral:rRNA from 1 species
CCUACGUGAGGCAGCAGUGAGGAAUAUUGGUCAAUGGGCGCGAGCCUGAACCAGCCAAGUAGCGUGAAGGAUGACUGCCCUACGGGUUGUAAACUUCUUUUAUAAAGGAAUAAAGUGAGGCACGUGUGCCUUUUUGUAUGUACUUUAUGAAUAAGGAUCGGCUAACUCCGUGCCAGCAGCCGCGGUACUACGGAGGAUCCGAGCGUUAUCCGGAUUUAUUGGGUUUAAAGGGAGCGUAGAUGGGUUGUUAAGUCAGUUGUGAAAGUUUGCGGCUCAACCGUAAAAUUGCAAUUGAUACUGGCAGUCUUGAGUACAGUUGAGGUAGGCGGAAUUCGUGGUGUAGCGGUGAAAUGCUUAGAUAUCACGAAGAACUCCGAUUGCGAAGGCAGCUUACUAAACUGCCACUGACAUUGAUGCUCGAAAGUGUGGGUAUCAAACAGGAUUAGAUACCCUAGUAGUC